UUCGAUUACUCCUACGGGAGGCAGCAGUGGGGAAUAUUGCACAAUGGAGGAAACUCUGAUGCAGCGACGCCGCGUGAGUGAAGAAGGUCUUCGGAUCGUAAAACUCUGUCCUUGGUGAAGAAAAGGACGGUAGCCAAGGAGGAAGCCCCGGCUAACUACGUGCCAGCAGCCGCGGUAAUACGUAGGGGGCGAGCGUUGUCCGGAUUUACUGGGCGUAAAGGGUGAGUAGGCGGUUGUAUAUGUCAGGUGUAAAAGGCUAUGGCUUAACCAUGGUUAGCACUUGAAACUGUGCAACUUGAGUGCAGGAGAGGUAAGCGGAAUUCCUAGUGUAGCGGUGAAAUGCGUAGAUAUUAGGAGGAACACCAGUGGCGAAGGCGGCUUACUGGACUGUAACUGACGCUGAGUCACGAAAGCGUGGGUAGCAAACAGGAUUAGAUACCCUGGUAGUCA
rnacentral:rRNA from 1 species